ACUGCAACGCCCAGCGGCGCCUCAGACCUUGACACUUACUCAGCAGAUCAGUUACACACAGGCAGGACCACAUACACCAGCUGUAUCUCUGAACACACAGUCGGGACCAUAACACCAGCUGUAUCCCUCAACACACAGGCCGGACCACAGACACCAGCUGUAUCCCUCAACACACAGGCCGGACCACAAACACCAGCUGUAUCCCUCAACACACAGGCCGGACCACAGACACCAGCUGUAUCCCUCAACACAGAGGCCGGACCACAGACACCAGCUGUAUCCCUCAACACACAGGCCGGACCACAGACACCAGCUGUAUCCCUCAACACACAGGCCGGACCACAAACACCAGCUGUAUCCCUCAACAGCAGCCAAGACAACAGAGAAAAGGAAGAUGGAUGACCUGGACGUGACCUGGAUAAGAGAAGCUGGAUCUUUAGAGUACAUCGCCGAGUUAGCACAUCAACGUCGAACUUUUCUUAUCUGUUAUCAACUUAGCCUUAUCACACGUGAACCUCUCCAGGUGGCACAUGUUAGACAAGCCCUCACACACCUGUACAGGAAAGUUCCCUGCCUGCGUGUGUAUUACGACGAACGAAAUGGAACCAAGUGGCUCCGGGAAGCAACUCAUCCAAACAUUGACUUUAAGGUAGGUAAUUAUUAAUUGUUAGUUUACCAUCAGGUAUCUGAGUCAUUUAUCCAGUCAAAAACUACAUUUCUAACCUAGUAAGUAUAUAUAAAUAUUACUAAAACAAACUAAGGAGCGUAUGAAUGGCUACUAGAGGCAUAACAUGGCUACUAGAGCCAUAACCUGGCUACUAGACCCAUAACCUGGCUACUAGAGGCAUAACCUGGCUACUAGACCCAUUACCUGGCUACUAGACCCAUAACCUGGCUACUAGAGGCAUAACCUG